AACGAACGCUGGCGGCAUGCCUAACACAUGCAAGUCGAACGAGACCUUCGGGUCUAGUGGCGCACGGGUGCGUAACGCGCGGGAAUCUGCCCCUUGGUUCGGAAUAACAGUUAGAAAUGACUGCUAAUACCGGAUGAUGACGAAAGUCCAAAGAUUUAUCGCCGAGGGAUGAGCCCGCGUAGGAUUAGCUAGUUGGUGAGGUAAAGGCUCACCAAGGCGACGAUCCUUAGCUGGUCUGAGAGGAUGAUCAGCCACACUGGGACUGAGACACGGCCCAGACUCCUACGGGAGGCAGCAGUGGGGGAAUAUUGGACAAUGGGCGAAAGCCUGAUCCAGCAAUGCCGCGUGAGUGAUGAAGGCCUUAGGGUCGUAAAGCUCUUUUACCAGGGAUGAUAAUGACAGUACCUGGAGAAUAAGCUCCGGCUAACUCCGUG
rnacentral:rRNA from 1 species